GUCACUAUUACUUUUCCAGUGUUUGUAGCAAGAAAAUUUCAUUUAUCCCAUAUAGCAUCGAAUUAGUUCAUCUCUUAGUCUUUAAUAGUGUAAUAUAUCUAAAAAUCUGGACUUAAUAGAGUCAAUAUGUUCAAAUCCUUUUAUAGAUCAAUUUGGGGAAGCCUCUUUCUAGAUUUGAGCCCUAAUUUAGCAAAAAAUCAAGUCCUGAUUGGAACAACACAAAAAUGAAGAAAUAAACUUCCCUGAACGGUGGAGGAGGGCAGGGCUCACUCCGGCAGACAACGGGGUUGAGAUUGGAGCUGGGGCCGCGCGGCAGUGUCUGGAAACUGACGGUGGUGACAGGAAAAGGGCGAAGGUGACUGGGCGGCGGGAGACGGUGGCAGGAGGUGUUUGGCGCUGCUGGUAUGGUGUAAAUCGCGCCGACUGGUGGCUCUUCCUCGGCGUUCAUGAUAGGAACGAUGGGUGGCGCACGAAGCCGCCUUGUGUAGAUGCCGGGAGAUGGUGGGGGGCAGCGGUUCUGGAGUGGGUCGCGGUGGUGUUGCGCUGCGUCGAAGGCGGCUGGGCUGGUGCUGUGGUGGUCGGACAGGUGGUGCGGCCGGAAGAGGGAGUUCAGCGGCGGAUUGAAGCUAGGGCACGGCGGCGGCAAGGAGCCGCUGUUGUCGCCGGAGUAUGGAGAGAAGAGGGGGCUUUGGGCUGCGCUCGGAGGCGGCGGCCUUCCCGCCGUGCGGUCGACGGGAUCGGCAGGGAGGUGGCUGUAGAUUAUAGAUCUAGGAUUUCAGGCGCGGUGUGGUGUGCGUGCACUAAUCAGAGAGAAAAGAACAAGACGGAAACAAAGAAAGGAAGUCUUCAAAAUAAAUAAAUUCUUCAAGCUUCGGCCCGCUCGCACUUGAUGAUAUUAAUUAAACUUGGGCCGACUCCACCAUCUCCAAUGGGUUUCUUCAUCAACUCUUGAGCCCACACUUCUUGAACUAAGCUCAUCAAGCUCUCCUUGAACUUCUUGGCUCGUGCUUUUGUAACCGGACCAACAGGAACAUGCACCGGGUCUUGUACCAACGAACCUUGGGCUGCAUCAAAGUGCCUCCNGCUACAUGCACUACAUUUUAUCCCCUUCACAAUAGAAACUUCACACUGUAAAAGCAAUCACUACAAUCUCCUAUAAGGAAGAUGAUUAUACUUCUAAACUAUUAACCAGCAACAAUCCACAUUGAUAAACAUACAGAAUCUGUCAAUAUUACUUUUCCAGUGUUUGUAGCAAGAAAAUUUCAUUUAUCCCAUAUAGCAUCGAAUUAGUUCAUCUCUUAGUCUUUAAUAGUGUAAUAUAUCUAAAAAUCUGGACUUAAUAGCGUCAAUAUGUUCAAAUCCUUUUAUAGAUCAAUUUGGGGAAGCCUCUUUCUAGAUUUGAGCCCUAAUUUAGCAAAAAAUCAAGUCCUGAUUGGAACAACACAAAAAUGAAGAAAUAAACUUCCUUGAACGGUGGAGGAGGGCAGGGCUCGCUCCGGCAGACAGCGGGGUUGAGAUUGGAGCUGGGGCCGCGCGGCAGUGUCUGGAAACUGACGGUGGUGACAGGAAAAGGGCGAAGGUGACUGGGCGGCGGGAGACGGUGGCAGGAGGUGUUUGGCGCUGCUGGUAUGGUGUAAAUCGCGCCGACUGGUGGCUCUUCCUCGGCGUUCAUGAUAGGAACGAUGGGUGGCGCACGAAGCUGCCUUGUGUAGAUGCCGGGAGAUGGUGGGGGGCAGCGGUUCUGGAGUGGGUCGCGGUGGUGUUGUGCUGCGACGAAGGCGGCUGGGCUGGUGCUGUGGUGGUCGGACAGGUGGUGCGGCCGGAAGAGGGAGUUCAGCGGCGGAUUGAAGCUAGGGCACGGCGGUGGCAAGGAGCCGCUGUUGUCGCCGGAGUAUGGAGAGAAGAGGGGGCUUUGGGCUGCGCUCAGAGGCGGCGGCCUUCCCGCCGUGCGGUCGACGGGAAUCGGUAGGGAGGUGGCUGUAGAUUAUAGAUCUAGGAUUUCAGGCGCGGUGUGGUGUGCGUGCAUUUGAGUCAGAGAGAGAGGAGAUUAAGAGGGAGACGAGGGUGGGCGGCAGCGGCGCGACGCAGCGACAAGGGUGGGCGGCGACGGGCCGGCGCGGGGCAGCGGCGCCGGCGGCGGAGUCGAGAGGGGAGAGAGAGAGUCGAGAG
rnacentral:lncRNA from 1 species